GAUGAACGCUGGCGGCGUGCCUAAUACAUGCAAGUCGAGCGAACAGAUGAGGAGCUUGCUCCUCUGACGUUAGCGGCGGACGGGUGAGUAACACGUGGAUAACCUACCUAUAAGACUGGGAUAACUUCGGGAAACCGGAGCUAAUACGGGAUAAUAUAUUGAACCGCAGGGUUCAUUAGUAAAAAUCGGUUUUGCGGUCACUUAUAGAGGGAUCCGCGCCGCAUUAGCUAGUUGGUAAGGUAACGGCUUACCAAGGCAACGAUGCGUAGCCGACCUGAGAGGGUGAUCGGCCACACUGGAACUGAGACACGGUCCAGACUCCUACGGGAGGCAGCAGUAGGGAAUCUUCCGCAAUGGGCGAAAGCCUGACGGAGCAACGCCGCGUGAGUGAUGAAGGUCUUCGGAUCGUAAAACUCUGUUAUUAGGGAAGAACAAAUGUGUAAGUAACUAUGCACGUCUUGACGGUACCUAAUCAGAAAGCCACGGCUAACUACGUG
rnacentral:rRNA from 1 species